AUCUGCAGCCAUACCACCCUGAACGUGCCCGAUCUCCUCUGAUCUCGGAAGCUUAGCAGGAUCGGGCCUCUUUAGUGCUUGGAUGGGAGACCGCCUGGGAAUACCAGGUGUUGUAGUCU
rnacentral:rRNA from 1 species